UAAUUUGGGGACAAGAAGAGACCAUAGUUGAGGCCACGUGUUGGUAAAAUGAGAGGAGAGAGGAGGAGCGUGUGUUUCUUUCGGUUCGCUUUGGUUCGCAAUUCUCUCUCUCUCAAAGACAAGGAAAUCAACGGUGGCUUCUGAGCGAGCCUGGAGCUCCGGAGCAAAUCGUCUCCCACCACCACAAAGAUCCAGAAACGCGAUCCCCUUUCUCCUCCAAACCUCGCCGUCGUUCGCGAUUCUCCUGGAUUCAGAAACAAACACGGAGAGCAUACACAGGUCCGGUGAUCGGUUCGAUCCUGAUAGACAAUGUUGAAGAUUAUGUGUUUGUGAUGGCGUCGCAUCAGAUUAGAAUCCAUCGUGCCAAGAAGAGUGAUUUCUAUUGAGAGUGAGGAGUCGUCCGAUCAUUGAAGAUAGUAAUCUGAGCGAGCCUGAAGACGAGGGUGGAUGUUGUAGCUUGCCGCAAUGAGAGGAAUGAGCUACACUCCGUCACCACCAAGGGGUUAUGGGAGGAGGGGUCGAACAAGCCCAAGCCCUAGAGGAGGCCGUGAUGGAGGUCGUAGUGCGGACCUUCCGACCAGUUUUUUGGUUCGCAAUCUACGCCAUGACUGCAGGUAUAUGUGGAUUAGUUUUUUGAAUUUAUCACCUGUUUAGACUUGUACUUUUUAGUCGCUUAAAGAGAAGGAUCAAGGAUGCAAUGUUGCUUGAUAUGUUUCAUGUGUGUGUUAAUUGAAGUUGUUGAGGUUUAGCAGUGAAUCUAAAGAAUUGAAGACAUGAAUUAGAGUUUUUAUGAAAAUGUUGUGUAUGGUAGUGAAAGAGUUUUGAAGUGAAGUUGAGUUUAAUAAAAAAAUGUUUAAUAAUUUUUUUUUAAGAACUCUAAAUUAAGAGACUUGCAUUGGAGCAUAUAAAUGUUAGAGUCUCUUAAUGUUGUUUCUUAACUCACAUUUACUACUUAAAAGUAUUAAAAAAAAAAUAAGAGCCUCUAAAUGGAUCUUUGGGAUAAUGAUGCGUAAGAGUUCAUCUCUCUCUCUCUCUCUCUCUCUCUCCUCCAUUAGUGUUCAUCUCAUCUCUUACUGUAAGUUCUUCUACUACUAUUCUCUUCCUUCUGUAAUUGCUUUGUGUUUUUGAAGAAGAGCUUGGACUUUGUGUGUUUCAGCAGAUUUAAAGAACUGAUUUUCAAGCAAAAAUCAGUGAAUGGCGUGAUUCCUUUGUUUCUGAGCACAAUUAGCAUGUGACUGUAUUAUCUCAGCCCAUAGAUCUCAUUACUUCGGGACACAUUUGAAUAUCUACUUGGAAACGCCAAGACUAAAUAGAAAGGCUAACUUAAAUUUGGAUAUCUUGAGUUAUUGGAAAGAGGACCAACAUCUAUUUGGGGAUUUAGUAUCUAUGGCACUAGACAUACUCAACAUUCGGAUCACCAGAGUCUACUAUCACCUUCCUCUCUCUUCACUAGUCUUCAUCGUCCAGCUGUGAAGAGCGCACCACCGUCUCCGGCAACAUCUCAAACCGGAGAUCUUCGGUACCCCACUAAGGAUUGGUGGAAUUUGAGAGGAACGAUAUUACCUCCACAAGCUUGGUAGAUUCCAACAAGAAGAGAGCCACCAUGAAAUCCAAUCAAACGUUUGGAAAUUUAUUAUCUUCAAACUCGAAUUUGAGAAAGAACUAUGACGAUAACAACCGCUCCAGUUUGAGUUGAAGAAGUACAACAAAAUCCCAAAUAAAA